rnacentral:rRNA from 1 species
UACAGAGGUCUCAAGCGUUGUUCGGAUUCAUUGGGCGUAAAGGGCGCGUAGGCUGCGGGGCAAGUCGGGUGUGAAAUCUCAGGGCUCAACCCUGAAACUGCACUCGAUACUGCUCUGCUUGAGGACUGGAGAGGAGACUGGAAUUCACGGUGUAGCAGUGAAAUGCGUAGAUAUCGUGAGGAAGACCAGUGGCGAAGGCGGGUCUCUGGACAGUUCCUGACGCUGAGGCACGAAGGCCAGGGGAGCAAACGGG